rnacentral:lncRNA from 1 species
UUCUGCCUCGGCCUGCUUGACUGUUCUUCCCCUGCCCUCUUUAGCAGGACUAUUCUGAUCUGCUUUUCUGGAGGAGAAUGUCCCACAGGGCUGCACCAGCACAGACCACAGACAGGCUUUGACUUUACAGUGUGCUUUUGCCAACCACCAUAGCAAUGUGUGUGUUCUCCCACCUUUGGAACCAGAAAGGUCUAAAACUCUUUAAGUGUAGUUAGUA